GACGAACGCUGGAGGCGUGCUUAACACAUGCAAGUCGAACGAUGAAAUGGAGCUUGCUCCAUGGAUUAGUGGCGAACGGGUGAGUAACACGUGAAUAACCUGCCCUUAAUUUUGGAAUAACCCAGGGAAACCUGGGCUAAUACCGGAUAAGUAAACCUGUGGCAUCACAUGGUUUUGGAAAGUUUUUCGAUUAAGGAUGGAUUCGCGGCCUAUCAGCUUGUUGGUGAGGUAAUGGCUCACCAAGGCGACGACGGGUAGCCGGGCUGAGAGGGUAGACGGCCACACUGGGACUGAGACACGGCCCAGACUCCUACGGGAGGCAGCAGUGGGGAAUAUUGCGCAAUGGACGAAAGUCUGACGCAGCGACGCCUCGUGAGGGACGAAGGUCUUCGGAUUGUAAACCUCUUUCAGCAGGGACGAAGCGAAAGUGACGGUACCUGCAGAAGAAGCACCGGCUAACUAUGUGCCAGCCGCCGCGGUAA
rnacentral:rRNA from 1 species